rnacentral:pre_miRNA from 1 species
CAAAAGGCAAACCAUGGGUUUCUGUGUCCAACUUUGACUGUCCGUCUUAUAUGAAAUUUUUUUAUAAUUCGUAUUUUUAUUGUUGUUAGAUGAUAAAACAUGAUUAAUAUUUUAUGUGUGACUUGUCUUUUUAAUUUUUUUUAUAAUUUUUUCAAAUAAGACGGACGGUCAAACGUUGGGCACGGAAACCAGGGUUUGUCUUUUU